AUUGAACGCUGGCGGAAUGCUUUACACAUGCAAGUCGAACGGCAGCAUAGAGAGCUUGCUCUCUGAUGGCGAGCGGCGAACGGGUGAGUAAUAUAUCGGAACGUACCCAGUAAUGGGGGAUAACGAAUCGAAAGAUUCGCUAAUACCGCAUACGCCCUACGGGGGAAAGCGGGGGAUCGUAAGACCUCGCGUUAUUGGAGCGGCCGAUAUCUGAUUAGCUAGUUGGUGAGGUAAAGGCUCACCAAGGCGACGAUCAGUAGCUGGUCUGAGAGGAGGACCAGCCACACUGGAACUGAGACACGGUCCAGACUCCUACGGGAGGCAGCGGUGGGGAAUUUUGGACAAUGGGGGAAACCCUGAUCCAGCCAUUCCGCGUGAGUGAAGAAGGCCUUCGGGUUGUAAAGCUCUUUCGCAAGGGAAGAAAACUUACUUACUAAUACUAGGUGAGGCUGACGGUACCUUGAUAAGAAGCACCGGCUAACUACGUGCCAGCAGCCGCCGUAAUAC
rnacentral:rRNA from 1 species